GACCUGGUGGUGAAAUGAAUCACACCCAUCACAUUUACAUGUUAUUGAAAGAUUGUUUGUGGGAAUCCCCAGUUUGAAUCUGGGCUAGGUCA